CCUACGGGAGGCAGCAGUGGGGAAUAUUGCGCAAUGGACGAAAGCCUGACGCAGCGACGCCGCGUGAGGGAAGAAGGUCUUCGGAUCGUAAACCUCUGUCAGUAGGGAAGAACGGUCACUGUGCUAAUCAGCAGUGAAUUGACGGUACCUGCAAAGGAAGCAACGGCUAACUCCGUGCCAGCAGCCGCGGUAAUACGGAGGGUGCGAGCGUUAAUCGGAAUUACUGGGCGUAAAGCGCUCGUAGGCGGUAUGUCAAGUCAAGGGUGAAAUCCCCGCGCUCAACGUGGGAACUGCCUUUGAAACUGGCAGACUAGAGUGUGUGAGAGGAUAGUGGAAUUCCAGGUGUAGCGGUGAAAUGCGUAGAUAUCUGGAGGAACAUCAGUGGCGAAGGCGGCUAUCUGGCCCAUAACUGACGCUGAGGAGCGAAAGCGUGGGUAGCAAACAGGAUUAGAUACCCUUGUAGUC
rnacentral:rRNA from 1 species